GUUAAGACUCACAAAAGGAAAAUCCCUACAUGUUACAUUAAAUUGCAGAGGAAAAAGAAGAAAUAAUAAUAAUAACAGAAGAAUGACCUACUUUCUAACCUAUUUAAACUAUUUUCUUCUACAUGCCCCCUAAGUUCUGACUAUUAUCUUGGAUAUUUUUAAACAGCUGUGAAAUCACUUGUUACUUGCCAAUUACAGUUUAACUUUGGAUAAUCAGUGACCACAGCCACUCUGGAAGAAGAAAAACAAGUUGAUAGCUGUGACUAUGUGUUAAAAGGGAUGUUUAUGACUGGAUGAUUAAGAACAGCCGUUUGAAGGGAUCAAGUCUGGCAGCAAAGACUGUCAGAAGAGAGACUCAACUGAACCAUUUGCGCAACGUUUUUAUUAUCUUUCCAUGAGACAAAGUUCACACAGAGAGAUAAGGAGAUAGAGCAAAUCAGAAGGUGAGUUCUGAAAUGAUCAAAAGAGUACUUUCAGUCAGGAAUCUCUGCUGCCUUCUAAUUUUUUGGCUGUCAUAUUUUCAUCUUUGUUACAGCCUUGCCAUUCAAAACAUGGUACCAACAAAAAUCUUUGCAAACAGGGUUUCAUGCACCUGCAAGAACAGGGGUCAUCAUCAUCACUUACACCAGUGAAGCAGCUGCAAACCGUUUAAAAUCAGCAUCUCUUUCAGGUGUGUUUGUUCUUUUCUCAGUUAAACAUGGAAGAGCCUGCAUUUGGAAAAUCUUUGCUGCUAUUUCAUUUUCCCAAGGAAACCCAAAGUAAUUAUUUGAGUCUUUGAAUUAGCACAUCUAUUGGAAGGACAAAGGGAUAAUACCAACUCCAUCCCUUUCUCUGUAGUCCACGUAAGUAGGCAGUAAGCAAUUCAUUUUUCUUAAAUCCUGUGCUUGGCUCUCGGAUCUAUUCAAUGACUAUUUCCCUCUUUUCUUUCUUGUUGUUUCUCACAAAGUGCAAUAUCCAGUCAGGCCCAAGAUUUGUAGCUAAUUCUAAAAGGGCAAAGGUUCCACGUGACUCUAGGCAACAGGAACACACACAAAAAAAAUUCUGUGCCUUUGCUCCAGGCAACUGCUAGACAGAAGGUUGGGUUUUUGUUCUGUCUUGUUUGGGCUUUUUUUCCCGAAGGAGGUAGUUCCUUUGCUCUUAAUGCAUUCUCAUCUAUCUGGGAAAAUCACAUAGGGUUACUUCUUGCUCAGGUCUUCAUAUUCAACCCAUUGCCUUGGAUAGCUGCUGCUUCCAGAGCUAUUGCUGUCCAAAGAUGCAUGUGUCCCAGGGCACCCCACAUUUAGCCCAAGCUAAUAAAUCAAACGUAUGACUGUCAAUGGAUUACAACCUGUUGAUGUUGCUAUAAAUAGUUUUCAGCAUUGUAAAAUGUUGACUUUUCUAUUACUGCGUCAAACUUCAUCAUUUUCUCACCAGAAGCUUGAGAGCAAGAUUGCAUAAAGUAAGCAACAGGAAGUCAAAAAAAACCAGUACCUGGGCUGAUUCACUGGAGACCAAAGAAAAGUAAAAGUACUGAAUCCUAUUGGUUGGCAUGAAAAGUAAUAGUUUCUUAUUGCUGAGCUGAUCCUUCCUCAUCCAAAGAUGGCUUUAAAAUCAAAGAGAGUUGUGUUUUUGUUUGUUGUUGUUGUUGUUGUUGUUGUUGUUUUUGUUUUUUUGUUUGAAGGGUUGCAUGUUUUAUGUCAUUCUGCAGUUUGGAGAAUUACUUCAUGACCCUUAGCUCUGGGGUGCUCCUGAGGCAGACCCACAGCAGAAUGGGUACAUACACCCCGUGCCAUUUGUUCUGGGCAUCAGAGCUGAGAAAUGGACAAGUGUGGGCUGUUUCAGUGGGUCUGUGCCCUGCUGAGUUG